AUACGUAGGGGGCGAGCGUUGUCCGGAAUGAUUGGGCGUAAAGGGCGCGUAGGCGGCCCGGUAAGUCUGGAGUGAAAGUCCUGUUUUUAAGAUGGGAAUUGCUUUGGAUACUGUCGGGCUUGAGUGCAGGAGAGGUAAGUGGAAUUCCCAGUGUAGCGGUGAAAUGCGUAGAGAUUGGGAGGAACACCAGUGGCGAAGGCGACUUACUGGACUGUAACUGACGCUGAGGCGCGAAAGUGUGGGGAGCAAACAGGAUUAGAUACCCUGGUAGUCCACACUGUAAACGAUGAAUGCUAGGUGUAGGGGGUAUCGACCCCUUCUGUGCCGCAGUCAACACAAUAAGCAUUCCGCCUGGGGAGUACGGCCGCAAGUUGAAACUCAAAGGAAUUGACGGGG
rnacentral:rRNA from 1 species